GGCUGGGGGUCCCAGUUUGUACUGGGAAUGGGCACAGUUUGUACUGGGAAGGGGCUGGGGGUCCCAGUUUGUACUGGGAAUGGGCCCAGUUUGUACCGGGAAGGGGCUGGGGGGCCCAGUUUGUACUGGGAAUGGGCCCAGUUUGUACUGGGAAAGGGCCCAGUCCGUACUGGGCUGGGGCUGAGGGUCCCAGUUCAUACUGGGAAGGGGCUGGGGGUCCCAGUUUGUACUGGGAAUGGGCCCAGUUUGUACUGGGAAUGGGCCCAGUCCGUACUGGGCUGGGGUUGAGGGUCCCAGUUUAUACUGGGAAGGGGCUGGGGGUCCCAGUUUGGACUGGAAUGGGGAUGGGGAUCUUGUUUCAUACUGGGACUGGGCCCAGUUCAUACUGGGAUGGGGCUGGGGGUGCCCAGUUUGGGCUGGGAAGGGACUGGGCUGGGAAUCCCAGUUCAGACUAGGAAUGGGCCCAGUUUCUACUGGGACAGGACUGGGAAUUCCAAUCUGUACUGGGGCUGAGGGUUCCCGUUUACACUGGGACAGUGCUCAGUGUGUACUGGGAAAGGGCUGAGGGUCCCAGUUUGUACUGGGAAUGGGCCCAGUUAGUACUGGGAAGGGGCUGGGGGGCCCAGUUUGUACUGGGAAAGGGCAUAAUUCAUACUGGGAAUGGGCAGGGGAUCCCGGUUUGUACUGGGAAAGGGCCUAAUUCAUACUGAGAAGGGGCUAGGGAUCCCAGUUUGUACUGGGAAUGGGCCCAGUUUUUACUGGGAUGGGGCUGGGGGGCCCAGUUCGAACUGGGAUGGGCCCAAUUCAUACUGGGAAAGGGCUGAGGAUCCCAGUUUGUACUGGUUAUAGGCCCAGUUUGUACUGGGAAUGGGCUGGGGGGCCCAGUUUGUACUGGGAAUGGGCCCAGUUUGUAGUGGGAAGGGGCUGGGGAUCCCAGUUUGUACUGGGAAUGGUCCCAGUUUGUACUGGGAAGUGGCUGGGUAUCCCAGUUUGUACUGGGAAUGGGCCCAGUUUGUACUGGGCUGGGGCUGGGGUUCCCAGUUUGUACUGGAAUGGUCCCAGUUCAUAUUGGGAUGGUCCCAGUUCAUACUGGAAUGGUCCCAGUUCAUACUGGGAUGCGCCCCCCCCCCCCACCCCGCGUCCCAAGGAGCAGCCGGGUCGGUUCCCAAAGUCCUUUAAUGCAGCGGCCGGGACAGCGCGGGGGCACCCAUGGGUGGGGGGCACCAAAGGGACCCCCCGGGACCCCCAGAGGGACCUCAGGGAGCCCCAUAAGGACCCCAGGACCCCCUUGGGACCCCCUUGGGACCCCCAUAUGGACCUUAGGGUGCCCUAUAAAGACCCUGGAACCCCCAUAAGGACCCCAGGACCCCCUUGG
rnacentral:lncRNA from 1 species